rnacentral:rRNA from 1 species
UGGGGAAUAUUGGACAAUGGGCGAAAGCCUGAUCCAGCCAUGCCGCGUGUGUGAAGAAGGUCUUCGGAUUGUAACGCACUUUAAGUUGGGAGGAAGGGCAUUAACCUAAUACGUUAGUGUUUUGACGUUACCGACAGAAUAAGCACCGGAUAACUCUGUGCCAGCAGCCGCGGUAAUACAGAGGGUGCAAGCGUUAAUCGGAAUUACUGGGCGUAAAGCGCGCGUAGGUGGUUUGUUAAGUUGGAUGUGAAAUCCCCGGGCUCAACCUGGGAACUGCAUUCAAAACUGACUGACUAGAGGAUGGUAGAGGGUGGUGGAAUUUCCUGUGUAGCGGUGAAAUGCGUAGAUAUAGGAAGGAACACCAGUGGCGAAGGCGACCACCUGGACUAAUACUGACACUGAGGUGCGAAAGCGUGUGGAGCAAACA